rnacentral:rRNA from 1 species
GAUGAACGCUGGCGGCGUGCUUAACACAUGCAAGUCGAACGAAGCACUUUAUUUGAUUUCCUUCGGGACUGAUUAUUUUGUGACUGAGUGGCGGACGGGUGAGUAACGCGUGGGUAACCUGCCUUGUACAGGGGGAUAACAGUUGGAAACGGCUGCUAAUACCGCAUAAGCGCACGGCAUCGCAUGAUGCAGUGUGAAAAACUCCGGUGGUAUAAGAUGGACCCGCGUUGGAUUAGCUAGUUGGUGAUGUAACGGCCCACCAAGGCGACGAUCCAUAGCCGACCUGAGAGGGUGACCGGCCACAUUGGGACUGAGACACGGCCCAAACUCCUACGGGAGGCAGCAGUGGGGAAUAUUGCACAAUGGGCGAAAGCCUGAUGCAGCGACGCCGCGUGAGCGAAGAAGUAUUUCGGUAUGUAAAGCUCUAUCAGCAGGGAAGAUAAUGACGGUACCUGACUAAGAAGCACCGGCUAAAUACGUG